rnacentral:rRNA from 1 species
CACGUAGGGCGCAAGCGUUGUCCGGAAUUAUUGGGCGUAAAGAGCUCGUAGGCGGUCUGUUGCGUCCGCUGUGAAAACUCGGGGCUUAACCCCGAGCCUGCAGUGGAUACGGGCAGACUAGAGGUAGGUAGGGGAGAAUGGAAUUCCCGGUGUAGCGGUGAAAUGCGCAGAUAUCGGGAAGAACACCCGUGGCGAAGGCGGCUCACUGGCCCGGUACUGACGCUGAGGUGCGAAAGCGUGGGGAGCAAACAGG